rnacentral:rRNA from 1 species
CCCUUAGACGUUCUGGGCCGCACGCGCGCUACACUGACACAGGCAACGAGCUUUCCUUUACCGAAAGGUAUGGGUAAUCUUUUGAAACUGUGUCGUGCUGGGGAUAGAUCCUUGCAAUUUUUGAUCUUAAACGAGGAAUUCCUAGUAAGCGCGAGUCAUCAACUCGCGUUGAUUACGUCCCUGCCCUUUGUACACACCGCCCGUCGCUACUACCGAUUGAAUGGCUUAGUGAGGCCUCAGGAUCCGCGCUUAAUGUGUGGAGAAUUUGGACAAACUGCGUCAUUUAGAGGAAGUAAAAGUCGUAACA